GAUGAACGCUAGCGGCAGGCUUAAUACAUGCAAGUCGAGGGGUAACAUGGGGUAGCAAUACUCUGAUGACGACCGGCAAACGGGUGCGGAACACGUACGCAACUUUCCAAACUGGUGAAUAGCCCUCCGAAAGGAGGAUUAAUACACCGUAACAUAUAGAGGUGGCAUCGCCUUUAUAUUAUAGCUCCGGCGGUUUUGGAUGGGCGUGCGCCUGAUUAGGUAGUUGGUGUGGUAACGGCUCACCAAGCCUACGAUCAGUAACUGGUGUGAGAGCACGACCAGUCACACGGGCACUGAGACACGGGCCCGACUCCUACGGGAGGCAGCAGUAAGGAAUAUUGGUCAAUGGGCGCAAGCCUGAUCCAGCCAUGCCGCGUGAGUGAUGAAGGUCUUCGGAUUGUAAAACUCUUUCGCCGGGGAAGAUAAUGACGGUACCCGGAGAAGAAGCUCCGGCUAACUUCGUG
rnacentral:rRNA from 1 species